rnacentral:rRNA from 1 species
CCUACGGGUGGCUGCAGUGAGGAAUAUUGGUCAAUGGCCGGAAGGCUGAACCAGCCAAGCCGCGUGAGGGAGGAAGGCGCAGAGCGUCGCAGACCUCUUUUGCCGGGGGACAAAAGGCCGGACGGGUCCGGUUCUGAGGGUACCCGGAGAAAAAGCAUCGGCUAACUCCGUGCCAGCAGCCGCGGUAAUACGGAGGAUGCGAGCGUUAUCCGGAUUCAUUGGGUUUAAAGGGUGCGUAGACGGAGAAGCAAGUUAGUUGUGAAAUCCCUCGGCUUAACUUAGGAACUGCAACUAAAACUACUUCCCUUGAGUACUGGAGAGGAAAGUGGAAUUCCUAGUGUAGCGGUGAAAUGCGUAGAGAUUAGGCGGAACACCAGUGGCGAAGGCGACUUUCUGGACAGUAACUGACGUUGAGGCACGAAAGUGUGGGGAGCAAACAGGAUUAGAUACCCGUGUAGUC